rnacentral:tRNA from 1 species
UAAUUUUUGUACUAUAAGGUUUUGAAAGCCUUGAUGGGAGAGAAACUCU